rnacentral:rRNA from 1 species
AACAGGGAUUGCCCUAGUAACGGCGAGUGAAGCGGCAACAGCUCAAAUUUGAAAUCUGGCUUCGGCCCGAGUUGUAAUUUGUAGAGGAAGCUUUUGGUGAGGCACCUUCUGAGUCCCCUGGAACGGGGCGCCAUAGAGGGUGAGAGCCCCGUAUAGUCGGAUGCCGAUCCAAUGUAAAGCUCCUUCGACGAGUCGAGUAGUUUGGGAAUGCUGCUCAAAAUGGGAGGUAAAUUUCUUCUAAAGCUAAAUACCGGCCAGAGACCGAUAGCGCACAAGUAGAGUGAUCGAAAGAUGAAAAGCACUUUGAAAAGAGGGUUAAAUAGCACGUGAAAUUGUUGAAAGGGAAGCGUUUGUGACCAGACUUGCGCCGUUCCGAUCAUCCGGUGUUCUCACCGGUGCACUCGGGGCGGCUCAGGCCAGCAUCGGUUUUGGUGGGGGGAUAAAGGUUCGGGGAACGUAGCUCCUCCGGGAGUGUUAUAGCCCCGGGCGUAAUGCCCUCGCCGGGACCGAGGUUCGCGCAUCUGCAAGGAUGCUGGCGUAAUGGUCAUCAACGACCCGUCUUGAAACACGGACCAAGGAGUCAAGGUUUUGCGCGAGUGUUUGGGUGUAAAACCCGCACGCGUAAUGAAAGUGAACGUAGGUGAGAGCUUCGGCGCAUCAUCGACCGAUCCUGAUGUAUUCGGAUGGAUUUGAGUAAGAGCGUUAAGCCUUGGACCCGAAAGAUGGUGAACUAUGCUUGGAUAGGGUGAAGCCAGAGGAAACUCUGGUGGAGGCUCGCAGCGGUUCUGACGUGCAAAUCGAUCGUCAAAUCUGAGCAUGGGGGCGAAAGACUAAUCGA